UUAAGCGACUAAGCGUACACGGUGGAUGCCCUGGCAGUCAGAGGCGAUGAAGGACGUGCUAAUCUGCGAUAAGCGUCGGUAAGGUGAUAUGAACCGUUAUAACCGGCGAUUUCCGAAUGGGGAAACCCAGUGUGUUUCGACACACUAUCAUUAACUGAAUCCAUAGGUUAAUGAGGCGAACCGGGGGAACUGAAACAUCUAAGUACCCCGAGGAAAAGAAAUCAACCGAGAUUCCCCCAGUAGCGGCGAGCGAACGGGGAGCAGCCCAGAGCCUGAAUCAGUAUGUGUGUUAGUGGAAGCGUCUGGAAAGGCGCGCGAUACAGGGUGACAGCCCCGUACACAAAAAUGCACAUGCUGUGAGCUCGAUGAGUAGGGCGGGACACGUGGUAUCCUGUCUGAAUAUGGGGGGACCAUCCUCCAAGGCUAAAUACUCCUGACUGACCGAUAGUGAACCAGUACCGUGAGGGAAAGGCGAAAAGAACCCCGGCGAGGGGAGUGAAAAAGAACCUGAAACCGUGUACGUACAAGCAGUGGGAGCACGCUUAGGCGUGUGACUGCGUACCUUUUGUAUAAUGGGUCAGCGACUUAUAUUCUGUAGCAAGGUUAACCGAAUAGGGGAGCCGAAGGGAAACCGAGUCUUAACUGGGCGUUAAGUUGCAGGGUAUAGACCCGAAACCCGGUGAUCUAGCCAUGGGCAGGUUGAAGGUUGGGUAACACUAACUGGAGGACCGAACCGACUAAUGUUGAAAAAUUAGCGGAUGACUUGUGGCUGGGGGUGAAAGGCCAAUCAAACCGGGAGAUAGCUGGUUCUCCCCGAAAGCUAUUUAGGUAGCGCCUCGUGAAUUCAUCUCCGGGGGUAGAGCACUGUUUCGGCAAGGGGGUCAUCCCGACUUACCAACCCGAUGCAAACUGCGAAUACCGGAGAAUGUUAUCACGGGAGACACACGGCGGGUGCUAACGUCCGUCGUGAAGAGGGAAACAACCCAGACCGCCAGCUAAGGUCCCAAAGUCAUGGUUAAGUGGGAAACGAUGUGGGAAGGCCCAGACAGCCAGGAUGUUGGCUUAGAAGCAGCCAUCAUUUAAAGAAAGCGUAAUAGCUCACUGGUCGAGUCGGCCUGCGCGGAAGAUGUAACGGGGCUAAACCAUGCACCGAAGCUGCGGCAGCGACGCUGAUGCGUUGUUGGGUAGGGGAGCGUUCUGUAAGCCUGCGAAGGUGUGCUGUGAGGCAUGCUGGAGGUAUCAGAAGUGCGAAUGCUGACAUAAGUAACGAUAAAGCGGGUGAAAAGCCCGCUCGCCGGAAGACCAAGGGUUCCUGUCCAACGUUAAUCGGGGCAGGGUGAGUCGACCCCUAAGGCGAGGCCGAAAGGCGUAGUCGAUGGGAAACAGGUUAAUAUUCCUGUACUUGGUGUUACUGCGAAGGGGGGACGGAGAAGGCUAUGUUGGCCGGGCGACGGUUGUCCCGGUUUAAGCGUGUAGGCUGGUUUUCCAGGCAAAUCCGGAAAAUCAAGGCUGAGGCGUGAUGACGAGGCACUACGGUGCUGAAGCAACAAAUGCCCUGCUUCCAGGAAAAGCCUCUAAGCAUCAGGUAACAUCAAAUCGUACCCCAAACCGACACAGGUGGUCAGGUAGAGAAUACCAAGGCGCUUGAGAGAACUCGGGUGAAGGAACUAGGCAAAAUGGUGCCGUAACUUCGGGAGAAGGCACGCUGAUAUGUAGGUGAAGUCCCUCGCGGAUGGAGCUGAAAUCAGUCGAAGAUACCAGCUGGCUGCAACUGUUUAUUAAAAACACAGCACUGUGCAAACACGAAAGUGGACGUAUACGGUGUGACGCCUGCCCGGUGCCGGAAGGUUAAUUGAUGGGGUCAGCGCAAGCGAAGCUCUUGAUCGAAGCCCCGGUAAACGGCGGCCGUAACUAUAACGGUCCUAAGGUAGCGAAAUUCCUUGUCGGGU
rnacentral:rRNA from 1 species